UGGCUUCAGCAGCACACGUACUAAAACUGCAGCGAUACAGAGAAGGUUAGCCCGGCCCCUGCGCAAGGAUGAGAUAUAUGUGAUCAUAACAGAUUAAAUAUAU